rnacentral:misc_RNA from 1 species
CAGACGCAACCAGUAGAAGUUUCUAGACAAAAUCGUCGUAUCUGACGGUCUGAAAAGUUUGAGAAGAACGAAAUAAACCGGCUUCGCGUUCUUCGACCCCUGAUACUUCAAUUCAGUGAUUGGAAGCACUUUCUUUGGUGACACCAACACAUUCUCGAUAACGUUGUAGUAUGGACAUGUUCCGUCAAGAUCCCACACGGAGACUUCGAUAGCUACGUUCGAAAGUUCUUCGUGUGUCGUGUUUACAACCUCAAUAAAG